rnacentral:rRNA from 1 species
UGGGGGAUAUUGCGCAAUGGGGGAAACCCUGACGCAGCAACGCCGCGUGAAGGACGAAGGUUUUCGGAUUGUAAACUUCUUUUGUUAGGGACGAAGAAAUGACGGUACCUGACGAAUAAGCUCCGGCUAACUACGUGCCAGCAGCCGCGGUAAUACGUAGGGAGCGAGCGUUGUCCGGAAUUACUGGGUGUAAAGGGUGCGUAGGCGGCAGAGCAAGUCAGAUGUGAAAUACACGGGCUUAACCCGUGGGCUGCAUUUGAAACUGUUCAGCUUGAGUGGAGCAGAGGCAGGCGGAAUUCCCGGUGUAGCGGUGAAAUGCGUAGAGAUCGGGAGGAACACCAGUGGCGAAGGCGGCCUGCUGGGCUUUAACUGACGCUGAGGCACGAAAGCGUGGGUAGCAAACA